AAGUCGUAACAAGGUUUCCGUAGGUGAACCUGCGGAAGGAUCAUUACAGAGUUCAUGCCCUUCGGGGUAGAUCUCCCACCCUUGAAUACUAUACCUUAGUUGCUUUGGCAGGCCGUGGAAACACCGCGGGCUUCGGCUUGCGAGUGCCUGCCAGAGGAAACAAACUCUGGUUUUAGUGAUGUCUGAGUACUAUAUAAUAGUUAAAA
rnacentral:misc_RNA from 1 species